ensembl:snRNA U1 U1 spliceosomal RNA
AUAGAUGCAGAUGAUAUCAUCAGUCAGAGGGUGAGCUGUAUUGUUGACUCCUCCUGUAGUCUCCUGUAGUGUGAAUUACCUGAACAGGGGGACUCUCAACUGCAUAAUUUCUGGCAGUGGGGGACUGCGUCCAUGCUCUCACCUG